GAACUCAAAAAAAUAAAUAAAAUCAAAUGUAAAUACCAGCAACAGCACCAGGAGCUGAGUAUAAGCAGAGAGAUUAAAAUUUAAUCAGCGAUUAUCGUAAUUUUAUAACCUAAUUUGAUUGAUUCCCAUCGAAUUGAGAAAGAAAUCUAAGAAGAGAAGAAGGAAGUGUAAAUUUGAGAAUUUGAAAUUAGGGUGAUGAGAGGAGACGACUCAAGAGGAAUCGAGAAUGGAGAUUCAGGAUUCAAAAAUAGAGAACGAAAUUAAGUUCAAUAUGGGGUUCUGUUUCUGUUUCUUUGCCUGUGCUCUUAGAUGAAAAGUAGAAGCAUAUUUGAUCCAAAAAUAAUUUUCGCUCUGCUAAUGUAAUUGAUCAGAUUUAAUCAUUUUUUUUCGUAAUUUUUCAUUACUAAGUUUUGUAUAUGUAAUACACUGAAUAGAAAUUGCAUUUUCGAUAGUAAUUUUGAGUUCUGAUUUGUUGUCUUUGAUUAAUCGACAAAAUGGGGUGAUGGCGGAGAUGACGGUGGUGGGGUGUUGGUAAGGAUCAAAAGUGAUUGACCUUUGAUUAAUGAUGGAGCUGAAGGAAUGAAUGAUGUUGGUGGUGAAAGAACGAAAGUGAGCGUUCUUUAAUGGUUGAUUCAAAUUUUCGCGGCGGUACUGGUGGUAGUAGAGGUGCUGUCGUUAGAGUUGGUGGUGAAGCUGCUAGUGGCUGUGGAGUUGCUGGUGGUGUUGGCGAUGUUGUGGUGUUGGCGGCGGCGGAAUCGUUGUAAUGGUGGCGAUGGUGUUGCUGGAUUUGAAGGAGGCGGUGGAGGACGGUGAUGGAAGAGAAUAAAGUUAGUGGCGCUAGCGGUGGUGGCGAUGGAAGUGAUGGUGUUGGAGGCGGCGGCGGUAACGGUUGUGGUCCGGCGCAGGUGGUGAUGGAGGAGCUGUCGGUGACGGUGACGAUGGGAACUAAACAAACUGAAGAGAAGAGAAAAGAAAGAAAAGAGGAGGGAUAAAUUAGUCAUAGAAAAAAAGCUACGGAAUUCCAAUCUUUUCAUGAAAUUGAAAAAUUUCGUUACUCCUCAUUCCACGAAAAGUGGCCAUAAAAGGGACUCCGUCCGGUCCGUCGGCCCAAUUAUAUGCUUCAUGUGUAGCCUCUUAUCUAAGCAAUGGCCCAAGCAGAUAUAGCGAUGAAAAUAAGUAUGCGGCAGGUCAAAGAGUUUACGAGGCCGGUUCACCUACAAAAGUGUUGAGGAUGUAUGGAUAACCCCUCCCCUUCUCAUCCAUCAUUUUUUCUCAGAUCAGCAUCGGUAUCCAUGGUCGAUUUGAAUGACAAUACCGAUAUGGUUCUAGACCAAGUGGCAUUGGGACACGUCGAGACGGUCCUAGAGAAUUUGAAGGUAGGGAUACGUUGAAGCGAGACAAGAUUGAGGUUACUGCAAUUGUCAGGGGAGUGACUAGACUGGCUGAUCUUAUGAGGGAAGACAACGCCGCAAAAAUGUCCAAGAUAGAUGAAGGCAUAGUAAUGUUUCGUGAAUAUUUGGAUAUUAAAAAGCACAAUGCCGGCAUGAAAAUUACGGAGACUAACUUAGUGGCGUUGCAACCAUUGGAUGGAGCUGCUAUGAAAAAAACUCCAAAAACCCAUUUUGACCCGGCUCGAAAUCCUCACACAUCUAGCUGAAAAAUAUGAAAAUGAAAUUUACUAAUGAAAAUUAGGUGUUGCUAGGUGAUUAUUAAU